UAAGGAAUAUUGGUCAAUGGACGCAAGUCUGAACCAGCCAUGCCGCGUGAAGGAUGAAGGUCCUCUGGAUUAUAAACUUCUUUUAUCUGGGACGAAAACGGGAUUUUUAUCUCAAUUGACGGUACCAGAGGAAUAAGCACCGGCUAACUCCGUGCCAGCAGCCGCGGUAAUACGGAGGGUGCGAGCGUUAUCCGGAUUUAUUGGGUUUAAAGGGUGCGUAGGCGGCGAUAUAAGUCAGUGGUGAAAUAUUUCGGCUUAACCGAGAGACUGCCAUUGAUACUGUGUUGCUAGAAUAUGGUUGCUGUGAGUGGAAUGUGUGGUGUAGCGGUGAAAUGCUUAGAUAUCACACAGAAUAUCGAUUGCGAAGGCAGCUCACAAAGCCAUUAUUGACGCUGAGGCACGAAAGUGUGGGGAUCAAACA
rnacentral:rRNA from 1 species